rnacentral:rRNA from 1 species
AAAACUUUACAAUGCGGGAAACCGUGAUAAGGGAACUCUGAGUGCCCGUAAAAUCGGGCUGUCCAUCAGUGUAAAAAACUGGUGAAGAAAGGGCCGGGCAAGACCGGUGCCAGCCGCCGCGGUAAUACCGGCGGCUCGAGUGGUGGCCACUAUUAUUGGGCUUAAAGCGUCCGUAGCAGGGUUGUUAAGUCUCUUGGGAAAUCUACCGGCUCAACCGAUAGGCGUUCAGGGGAUACUGGCAACCUAGGGACCGGAAGAGGUGAGAGGUACUCCAGGGGUAGGAGUGAAAUCCUGUAAUCCUUGGGGGACCACCUGUGGCGAAGGCGUCUCACCAGGACGGCUCCGACUGUGAGGGACGAAAGCUGGGGGAGCAAACCGGAUUAGA